CAGAUGGAAUAUAACCGCGCUGCCGCCUGCUGAUGAUAGCGGUCGGCGGUGAGAGAAAGUCCGGGCUCCUUCGGAAAGAAUGCCGGGUAACAACCGGGCACAAUCUGGCAGCUGUAGAACUGCUUGCAGUACUGCAUAGCCCAGUGCGUGACAGACAGUGCAACAGAAAUUGAACCGCCCGCCGCAAGGCGAGUAAGGGUGAAAAGGCAGUGUAAGAGACUACCGGUCAUGUCGGUAACGGCUGACGCUUGUAAACCUCAUUCGGAGCAAGAUUAAGCAGCAGUUUUGUUUUUCCGAGCUUAAACUGCGGGUAAAUCGCUGGAGCUGAAUGGUAACAUUCAGUGCGGAUAGAUGGUUAGUACCGCUUCUCACUUUUGGGGGAUGCGGGAGACAGAACCCGGCUUAUUGUUCCGUCUGUUUU
rnacentral:RNase_P_RNA from 1 species